CGCUGUCUGCGGCCGGGGAGGGGGAGAGACAGGGUGACCGUCAGGCGGGCCGCUCGGGGCCAGCCCCCGUCGCCUGCGCGCCUCCUCCCGCCAGCCUUUCCAGCCUGCACCGCGAAAUACCGACCGCGUUGUUAGCGGCACGGGAACGGCUUCGGACCUAGGCUAAGGAAUCGGGAGACAAAGUCCUGCAGGACAUCUGUUUGUUUAAGCAAAGGAUCAAGGCUAGAAGGAAGAAAAACAUUCUAAAUGGCGCGCUUAUAAAAGUUUUUACUGUUAACUCCCAGGCCCUCCCUUUGGAUCCCCAGCAUUUAGAACUGCGCUGAGCACUUCAGAUGACAAGCAGUAAAUGUCUGUUGAAUGCACUGCUGACGUCCUACCCUUCUGGAAGGUCAGGGGGAUCCCCCUUCCCCAGAACCCCUCUUUGCAUAAAUUGUCUCAGCUUAUCCUAACAAUUACCUUUUGAGCUUAGCAUUGCCGCAGAAGGACACAGGCUGAGAGAACUUAAGUAAAUGUAUCCAGGUUUCCUUUGAAAGGGACUUACUUUCAAAGGGGAAAUCAACCCCUUUCUCUUUUUAAUCAUACAAGUAAGACACACUGUCUUUUGUAGAAAAGACAGUUCAGCAAAAAGAAAAAAUUACCACCUCUCAGCCCACAAUCCAGAGAAAAAUACUCUUAGCAUUUGGAUGAGGACCUUCCAGCUUUUUUCCCCCAAUAUAUUCUUCAGUUACUUCUUUAAUACAAAAAUUGAAUCACGCUAUAUCAACUCUAGUAGUUUUUUAACCUUUUAUGGGUAACAAAUCCCUUUGAAAAUGUGAUAACUUUCACCUAUCGCCUCAGAAAAAUGCACAUUCUUCCUAAAGUCUGUGGAUAAUUCCAGGGCAUCUGUGAAGCCCAUAAAGCCAUCCAUGGGCAUGGACUCCAGGCUAAGAACCCUGCUAUAUACAGAUUUCCUUUUCAAAACUAGCUUUUCCACUUACUGUGUCCUAAACACCUUUCCAUGCCAAUAACCAUGUUUCCAACACCAUAUUUUUUUUUAAUGGCUGUAUUAUGUCCUGCUUUAUGGAGCCCCAUCAUUUAUAAUAAAAGUCAUCAUGCACGAUGAAUUACCCCUGCAUUUCAUCCUUAAAACAUCCCGUGGAAGUGUUCCCAUUAUGGAGAUAAAACUCAGAGAUGUGAUGUGACAGCCACCAGGUGGCAGAUCUGAAAUUGAAGCAAGGUCUGUCCAACUCCUGAUACCACAUUCUUUGCUUUCAGGACCCCUCCUUGUUUAUCGAACCCCUUCUGUGGGAGUCAAAGUCCCCAAAUUUGGCUAGUGCCACUGUAGACCACAGCAGGGGCCAAUCCCUCCCUGAGAGCCUUUCCUCUGAACCUCCCAAAGCGAGAAUCUGUGCUUUCUCUCCAGGACCUGGCAGUGGAAUCCUUUUGUCCAACAAAACCAAAAUUUCUGGUUGAAGUCUAAGAAGAAGCCAUAGUGCCUGCCAACUCAGCCGCCUCAAAGAUGCCUCUGUAGAACCCCAGCGUUCCAAGGAACCCAGCUAGAGAACCAAAGGAAAUCCUGGAUCGCUCCCCAGCUGUACCGCCCCCAACACACAGCUCUAUUCUUCAGCCACAUUUCAUUGCAGAAUUGGAUCAUCUCAGAGCAGUUAUAUGGUCCUUCUUUCUGGAGGUAGGAAGCUGUUAUUCUUGGAAAUACCAGCCCAGGCUUGGCCGGGACACCCUGAGGAAAGAGGCAAUCUCCUGAACUCCAGCAUGUCGAGGGUGCCUCGAAGGCUUGAAGCAGGCCUGCAGGGGUCAUGGUGGGGGCACCAGCGGGCCUCGUUAUGUUAGGGCAGUGGGGGUUGGGAUGGGGCACCCCCUUGGUGGUGUCACUUCAGGAAGAGACACCACCCCCUACCUCCACUCUGUCCGGAGAGACAGCCAACGUGUCCGUGGCCUGACUUGCAUAUCUGCUAGGUGCCAAGUACCCCAGGAUAUCUGUGAUCCGAAGAGCAGAUAUGGGCCAGGUGGGGUUUGGAGGGUUUUGGCCACAGGUCCCAGAGAGAGGCAGAAAGGGAGAGGGGGCAGACCUAGCAGGAAGUCCCUGCAGAUGAGACACUGGUCUGGGAGGCAACCACCUCGAGAAAGACAAGCCCGUCCUCAGAGCUACCAAGGCAGAGAGUGACUUCUUCAGGGGAAGGAGAAACUCAAAGCCAAGAUGGCUUAGGAGGGAGAGCAGGGAAAGCCACAGGCAGUGAAGGGAU